rnacentral:rRNA from 1 species
UCAUCUUCGGGGGUAGAGCACUGUUUCGGCUAGGGGGUCAUCCCGACUUACCAACCCGAUGCAAACUACGAAUACCGAAGAAUGUUAUCACGGGAGACACACGGCGGGUGCUAACGUCCGUCGUGAAGAGGGAAACAACCCAGACCGCCAGCUAAGGUCCCAAAGUCAUGGUUAAGUGGGAAACGAUGUGGGAAGGCACAGACAGCCAGGAUGUUGGCUUAGAAGCAGCCAUCAUUUAAAGAAAGCGUAAUAGCUCACUGGUCGAGUCGGCCUGCGCGGAAGAUGUAACGGGGCUAAACCAUGCACCGAAGCUGCGGCAGCGACACUAUGUGUUGUUGGGUAGGGGAGCGUUCUGUAAGCCUGCGAAGGUGACCUGUGAGGGUUGCUGGAGGUAUCAGAAGUGCGAAUGCUGACAUAAGUAACGAUAAAGCGGGUGAAAAGCCCGCUCGCCGGAAGACCAAGGGUUCCUGUCCAACGUUAAUCGGGGCAGGGUGAGUCGACCCCUAAGGCGAGGCCGAAAGGCGUAGUCGAUGGGAAACAGGUUAAUAUUCCUGUACUUGGUGUUACUGCGAAGGGGGGACGGAGAAGGCUAUGUUAGCCGGGCGACGGUUGUCCCGGUUUAAGCAUGUAGGCUGGUUGUCCAGGCAAAUCCGGAUAAUCAAGGCUGAGGUGUGAUGACGAGGCACUACGGUGCUGAAGUAACAAAUGCCCUGCUUCCAGGAAAAGCCUCUAAGCAUCAGGUAACAUCAAAUCGUACCCCAAACCGACACAGGUGGUCAGGUAGAGAAUACCAAGGCGCUUGAGAGAACUCGGGUGAAGGAACUAGGCAAAAUGGUGCCGUAACUUCGGGAGAAGGCACGCUGGUGUGUAGGUGAAGCCCCUGCGGGUGGAGCUGAGACCAGUCGAAGAUACCAGCUGGCUGCAACUGUUUAUUAAAAACACAGCACUGUGCAAACACGAAAGUGGACGUAUACGGUGUGACGCCUGCCCGGUGCCGGAAGGUUAAUUGAUGGGGUUAUCCGUAAGGAGAAGCUCUUGAUCGAAGCCCCGGUAAACGGCGGCCGUAACUAUAACGGUCCUAAGGUAGCGAAAUUCCUUGUCGGGUAAGUUCCGACCUGCACGAAUGGCGUAAUGAUGGCCAGGCUGUCUCCACCCGAGACUCAGUGAAAUUGAACUCGCUGUGAAGAUGCAGUGUACCCGCGGCAAGACGGAAAGACCCCGUGAACCUUUACUAUAGCUUGACACUGAACAUUGAGCCUUGAUGUGUAGGAUAGGUGGGAGGCUUUGAAGCGUGGACGCCAGUCUGCGUGGAGCCAACCUUGAAAUACCACCCUUUAAUGUUUGAUGUUCUAACGUUGGCCCCUUACCGGGGUUGCGGACAGUGUCUGGUGGGUAGUUUGACUGGGGCGGUCUCCUCCCAAAGCGUAACGGAGGAGCACGAAGGUUAGCUAAUCCUGGUCGGACAUCAGGAGGUUAGUGCAAUGGCAUAAGCUA